AUCAAAGGUUAGCCAAGGGUAAUUUAGCAGGACAGCGCAGAAUACAGCUACGUUUCUAAUUCGGUGACUUGGUGUCCUUAGUGACUUCACCUGCCUACCGUGUGGAGACCAAGGAGGCUUUGGGAAAACUCCUAGAGCCCAGAGCUGGCAUCCCUUAUCCUUUAUCCGUUCCCUCCGGAGUCUCCACUUCUGCAGAACCAGAGUGUUCGUGUCACUCACUUUCCUAGCACUGGGACAAAAGACCAGACCAGGAGCCUUCAAGGAGGGGAGGUCCAUUCGGCU
rnacentral:lncRNA from 1 species